GGAGGUGGGCCUGAUUUGUUCUUCCUCGUCGCUACGAACCACGCCAUUCUCCUCCGCUGCCCCUUCGUUCCACUCAGACUAGAAACUCGAUCGAGGAAAAAAAACCGAGCAGGAUCUCUCGGAGAAGAAGAGGAAGAAGCGCAAAUCUCCAAACCCUAGAGGAAUCCCGACCAGCUUCUACCUAUGAUCCCGGACCAUGGACCCGGGGCCCUCGUCUGCCAGCGCUGACCCGUCCCCGCCAGAGGAGGAGGAAGAGGAGGAGGAGGAGCGCGACAGCAGCACCGGGAGCACGUGGGUGGUCGUGCCGGGGAGCGAGGUGCUGGGUGCCGACGCGCCCAAGGUCGUCGGCUGGGAGGAGCUUCAGCAGGAGCUCGCGCGCCUCUGGAGCCUGUCCGCCGCGCUCGCCGCCGCCAGGGACCGCAAGGCCGGCCUCGCCGCGCGCCUCGAGUCCGCGCUCGAGGCAAGAAAAGCAGUUCUUCAGCAGGAUAAUGAGUUGGCUGAGAUGAGGCAGAGAUUGCAAUCACAUGCUGAUUUUAUGGGGGAAUUGAGGAUGCAAACGAAGGAAGUGUCUGCGAAUGUUGAGGAUCGAAGGGAGCAACUUUGUGUCAAGAUCAGAACACUGACAGUAGCAGACAAAACUGUUGGUGCAGCACAAAGUAAAUUACAGGAACCUUGUAAAUUGCUGUCUGGGGAACGUGGCCAUGGUCGUCUUAAAGGUCUGGAACGAAUGUUACGGAUGAGACAACAAUACAUGAUAGGACAAGUUGCUCAGAUAUAUCCCGUGAGGCCCUUGAAUGAGCAAUCUCCAAUUGUAAAGCCUGGAUUAAACUCUAGUAUCACUAGAACAGGAGUUGGUGAAGCAGUGUCGCCCAAUGGUUCCCAAAACGGACAGACACCUUUGGCCAUUUUGGGUCUACAGUUAUCAAAGCUUUCUAUAAAAAAGACCAGCUACUUCAGUGACAAGACAGAGAUUCAAAAGUCUGCUACUCUUCUUGGAUAUGUUGCACAUGCGGUCUCCCUUAUUGCAUCAUAUCUCGAUGUUCCUCUUCGAUAUCCACUACGGUUGGGAGGUUCACAUUCUUAUGUUGUUGAUCAUGCCCCUUCAGUUGACCCAUCUAUAGCUCCAGGAGUAAGUUCUUCUACCCCUUCGAGCACGAGCAUGAGGACAAUGGAAUUUCCUCUGUUUUUUGAAGGCCAAGAAACAACAAGAUCGGCAUAUGCUGUAUUCUUGUUAAACAAGGAUGUCGAACAACUUCUGAACCACAUUGGCGCUGAAAGUCUUGGCCCAAGACAUGUACUAGCUAACCUGAAGCAGCUAACAACCAUUGUCCAGUCAGAACAAUACAUUUCUGAUUGAUUUAACCCAAAGGAACACAGUUUUGAAUUUCUGAGGGAUAUUGUUUGCUUAUGGCUGAGUCCUAGUGUAACCUGGUGCAGUUUUUUGCGAGCACCUUUCCUUUCCCAGGACAGAAAUGAGCUCAGGUCUCCCUUUGCUGACAUGUUGAUGUAAACGCGUAAACCGCUUUCUCCGUGUAAAACGUUAUCACUUGGAUGUGUACAGGAAAUAGAUGGAUGAUGAUAAAUGAGUUGUAGUGCAGAAAAUCUCGCUGCUUGUUGUUACCAGAGCUGUGGUUGCUUGUUUUCCAAAAGUUAUGGACAUGUAUCCAUUUGGUGAUAGUGCUGUGAGGUCAGGGCUGUUAAGAGAAAAGACUUGAUCUCUUCCGGGCCUUGAAGAAUUUUCCUGGGACUUUGCUGAAGUGAUUGAUGUUGUGUAGCCUUGCUUCUCUUCUGUACCGAAUGCGCUUGUGCGCAUGCAUGAUGAACUUUUUUUUAUUGAUGCAGAUGAACAAUUCCUGGGAUUCAAAAAAUAUAUAUACACGAG
rnacentral:rRNA from 1 species